rnacentral:rRNA from 1 species
UACGUAGGGUGCGAGCGUUAAUCGGAAUUACUGGGCGUAAAGCGUGCGCAGGCGGUUGUGUAAGGCAGAUGUGAAAUCCCCGGGCUCAACCUGGGAACUGCAUUUGUGACUGCACAGCUGGAGUGCGGCAGAGGGGGAUGGAAUUCCGCGUGUAGCAGUGAAAUGCGUAGAUAUGCGGAGGAACACCGAUGGCGAAGGCAAUCCCCUGGGCCUGCACUGACGCUCAUGCACGAAAGCGUGGGGAGCAAACAGG